rnacentral:ncRNA from 1 species
GGAAGGGCUUAUAAUCCUUCCUGUGGGUGACCGAAUAAGCCUGUCGUGAGCGGGCUAAAGUAUGCAGAUCCCUGUGGUAGGGUUGGUAGAGUUCAAUCGAAUGAGCCAAAUGACAAUACCAUGUCUAGUCUGUAGUUUGAAGUAGGUACACAAUGAACUGAUGUUCACGCCGAAAAAUUGGAGGUAUACAGUAGUCCUUCCCCACAUCUA